rnacentral:rRNA from 1 species
CCGCGGUAAUACGUAGGGGGCAAGCGUUGUCCGGAUUCACUGGGUGUAAAGGGCGCGCAGGCGGGUUAACAAGUCAGAGGUGAAAUCCUACAGCUUAACUGUAGAACUGCCUUUGAAACUGUUAAUCUUGAGUGCGGAAGAGAGAGACGGAAUUCCAGGUGUAGCGGUGAAAUGCGUAGAUAUCUGGAAGAACACCAGUUGCGAAGGCGGUCUCUUGGUCCGUUACUGAGCUCAGAGCGCGAAAGCGUGGGGAGCAAACAGGAUUAGAUACCCUGGUAGUCCACGCCCUAAACGAUGAAUACUAGGUGUUGGUGCUUUUGCAUCAGUGCCGCCUGAACGCAUUAAGUAUUCCACCUGGGGAGUACGAU